UACAGGAGGUGCUCAAGCGUUGUUCGGAUUCAUUGGGGCGUAAAGGGUGCGUAGGCGGCGCGGUAAGUCGGGUGUGAAAUCUCGGAGCUUAACUCCGAAACUGCAUUCGGUAUACUGCCGUGCUUGAGGACUGGAGAGGAGACUGGAAUUUACGGUGAGCGGUGAAAUGCGUAGAUAUCGUAAGGAAGACCAGUGGCGAAGGCGGGUCUCU
rnacentral:rRNA from 1 species